AUGGGCCUCCCUGGGGCCCAUCCUGUUGGACCUACCCUCGGGUUGUCGGCCGAUGGGCCCCCAGGCGGGAUGCGGGCCGCUGACCGACGCGUGGGCCGGCCGCCCAGCCCCGCCGCGCGUGGUGUGGCCCAGCUGUGCCCCCUGGCGCGGUCUGGCCCGUCCCAGCGCUUGAUUUGGCCCCCUGUAGGGUUUCCCCGAGCCUCCCGUGCCCCGACCCCCGCUUCCCAUCCUGCUGCCUCGCAGGCCGCCUUCCUCGUCCCCUCCAGCCGCCGCGCCCCCUCGCCCCCGCCUCCGCCGCCGGCCAUGACCCGGGAGUGGGGCGACGCCGAAUCCCGCCCGAAGCGGCGCGCGGAUGACCGCCGCGACCCUCCGCGCUCCUCCCCCGACGGCCUCCGGCGGGAGGCUGACCUCCGGAGCCAGCUCACCUCCCGCCCGGCUCGCCGAUCCCCUGCCCGCGACUCCCGUGACCCCCGCCGCUCGCCUUCCCGCCAAUCCCGCCGCUCCCCGACGCGGGAUGACCGCCGCUCCCACUCGCCUGCGCGCCGGGAUCCGCCUCGGGAGGACUCUCGGGACCGGGGCAACUCGCCUGCGCGGCGUUCCCCUGCCCGAGGCCGGUCUCCGACCCGGCGCUCGCCGGCCCGCGAUGGCCGUGGCUACCGCCGGCCCUCUCCUCCGC
rnacentral:rRNA from 1 species